UUAAUUGAAACCAAUAGUUGAGGUUAGUUACUGUUAAUAACUUAAAAGAAAAUAAUUUUCCAAUUAAA
rnacentral:tRNA from 1 species